CAGAUCUACAAACAGGGACCCACCGGGAUCCACGUCCUGGUCAGCGACGAGAUGAUCCAGAACUUCCAGGAUGAAUCCUGCUUCGUUCUGGACACCAUGAAAGCCGAAAGCAACGACAGCUACCACAUCAUCCUGAAAUAGGGGGCCAGGUGAGGGCCAGGUGAGGAGUACCUGCAGCUCUCAGCAUACCUGGACACCCUCCGCUCCCAGCACAAGGACACAAGCAGAGAUCUGGGAAGCCCCAGGUGUUGUUACCUGGCCGCCCUCCUCGCAGGGAACACCUGGAGACCCUCUGGAGAGCCCCCAGGUGUGGUUACCUGGCAGCCCCUGCCACAGGUGACUCCUGGCAUGGACAGGAUGCUCCAUUGCUGGAGCUCUGAGGCACCAGGUGUUCACUCACCUGGGACAGGUGUGUGCAGGUGUGAAGUGAUCUUUUAAGGUCAUCAAGAAUUUCAUAUCCAGAUUUAAUUAUGGAAAAUUGGAGGAUAAAGGAGUAACUCGGGGGGAGGGAGGGUGAGGGGACAUUGCUGCGUGUUUUGGGGAGAAAAGCAAAGAUUUCGCUAUUUCUGCUGAAUAUGUGAAGUGAUUGAAGCGGCUCUGGGCAGGUGUCCAGGUGAGGGAUCUGCCCAGGUGUGGGAGGUCAAUCCCAGAUCCCUCAAGACUUGGAUGCUCCAGGUAAUACCAGACUCAGCCUAUGAGGUGUUUCAGGCAAAAAAACA